UCGAGCGGAUGAAGGGAGCUUGCUCCUGGAUUCAGCGGCGGACGGGUGAGUAAUGCCUAGGAAUCUGCCUGGUAGUGGGGGAUAACGUCCGGAAACGGGCGCUAAUACCGCAUACGUCCUGAGGGAGAAAGUGGGGGAUCUUCGGACCUCACGCUAUCAGAUGAGCCUAGGUCGGAUUAGCUAGUUGGUGGGGUAAAGGCCUACCAAGGCGACGAUCCGUAACUGGUCUGAGAGGAUGAUCAGUCACACUGGAACUGAGACACGGUCCAGACUCCUACGGGAGGCAGCAGUGGGGAAUAUUGGACAAUGGGCGAAAGCCUGAUCCAGCCAUGCCGCGUGUGUGAAGAAGGUCUUCGGAUUGUAAAGCACUUUAAGUUGGGAGGAAGGGCAGUAAGUUAAUACCUUGCUGUUUUGACGUUACCAACAGAAUAAGCACCGGCUAACUUCGUGCCAGCAGCCGCGGUAAUACGAAGGGUGCAAGCGUUAAUCGGAAUUACUGGGCGUAAAGCGCGCGUAGGUGGUUCAGCAAGUUGGAUGUGA
rnacentral:rRNA from 1 species